CCACCGCCACCACCUUCGUCGCUCUCACCACCACCCUCAUCUUGAUUUCCUCCACUACAACCAGCACCACCACCUCCGUUACGUACACCAUUACUAUCAGCAAACUUCUUCUUUGUAGUUUGAAAAUUGAAAUUGGAAAUCAGAUUCACAUAGAUCGAGAGAUCUGAUUUCUUUGGUUUCAAUUUUAGUAAUUGAAUAGAGAGUAUAAGUUUUGCAUGUUCAAUUCAGCGAAGCUCAAGACUGAUUCAGUUUGUAAUGUUCAUCAUUUGGGUUGUAAAUACUUUUGAUUUCGAUUUUUGAGGGUUUGUGGUUAUUUCGUUUGAUUUUUAUGAUUCAACGGGUUAUACGGGUUCAGUGGUGGUGCUGUUGUUUUGGAUUGAGGCAGUAGUGUUUAAGAAGGUUAUGGAGAAAGAAGUUGCCAUGACCAAAAUGGAGGUGGAUGCUGUUGGGGAUGAAUUCCAAGUGAGGUUUUUGGUUCAGUGUAGCAGUGAACACAAGAUGGGUGCAGAGAUGGAUUUGUGUGUGGUUGUUGUUGUGGUCGGCGUCGGGAGAUGGAUGCAGGUAUAUGGGUAGAGAUAUGAAUGAAUAUCAUAUUUUGGGUUCCAUAUGCGGUCUAAAUUUGGUGGGUCUUGACUGAAAUUAGUGUUGAAUGAUGGUGGUCGUGUAUAGAGUUUAAAUGGUGAUGAAUUUGUAUAUGAAGUUACAUUUCGAUUAUCAGUGGGUGGUGAAUUUGUCAAGAGAAUUCUGAGCUCGACUAGUUGGUGUAUCUGGACCUGAGAACUUGGGAUCCAGGGAGUACAUUAACUACUGAGUGCAGGCAACGGUGGCUAAUUGACAUGGAAUGAGAACUAGCUGUAACUGGUAGAGUGCUGGAUCAACACGUUGGAUAGUAGAAGUUGAUUUUGCAAAGGGUGUAGACCUUCCAUUUCAGGUAUUUCCAACUAUCAAGGAACUUGGUUUGACACAGAUGGAAGUAAAUGUUAAGGUGAAGAUAUCUUUGGAGAAAAAAUGUUUGCACUUGGAGUUGUGAUCAAGAUCCCAGAACCAAAGCAAACAGCUAAGAUAAGUUUUCGAGUAUCAUCUGGUCGAGCGAAGUACAAUGCCUAUAUUGAUUGCUUAGUCUGAAAGUGAGUAUAUAAUAUAGUUAGGAUUGUUAAGUGAUUUGGACAUUAAUUAUUAGUUAGUCCAGACUCAUGGUUUCUUUCCUUCGUGCAUUUCUCAAGUUUUAUUCCUUUUCCAAGAUGUAGUGAAUGGAUAUUUGACGUGAUUACUUUUUUUGAUGCA